UGCUCUCCGAGUGGUGUGGAUGUUUAUUGGGCCUAAAGCAUCCGUAGCUGGCUAAGUUAGUCCCUUGUUAAAUCCACCGAAUUAAUCGUUGGAUUGCGGGGGAUACUGCUUGGCUAGGGGACGAGAGAGGCAGACGGUAUUUCCGGGGUAGGGGUGAAAUCCUAUAAUCCCGGGAAGACCACCAGUGGCGAAGGCUGUCUGCUAGAACGCGCCCGACGGUGAGGGAUGAAAGCUGGGGGAGCGAACC
rnacentral:rRNA from 1 species